rnacentral:rRNA from 1 species
UACGAGUGCCCCAAGCGUUAUCCGGAAUUAUUGGGUGUAAAGGGUGUGUAGGCGGUCUUGUUAGUCGUGCGUCAAAUCUCCGGGCUUAACCCGGAACCUGCGCGCGAAACGGCAAGACUAGAAGAUGCGAGAGGUCUGUAGAACUCAUAGUGUAGGGGUGAAAUCCGUUGAUAUUAUGGGGAAUACCAAAAGCGAAGGCAGCAGACUGGCGCACUCUUGACGUUGAAACACGAAAGCGUGGGUAGCGAAUGGG